CACACCCUCCUUGUUUCAUAAAGUGUUGCCACUUUUGUGGCUACCUGUCUCAUUACGUGAGCUCGGCCUCAACUUUUCAUCAAGAAUUAUUUAUUAUAAUAUUGUUAUUAAUUUGAGAAAUUAUUUUAUAGAUUCUUCUCACCAUUUUAUUUAUAGUCUUUUUCAAUUAUUUUAUAAUAUUCUAAUAACAUUUUUUCAUGUUAUUGAUACAUAAUUUUGACAGUUUUUUACCUUUAACUCUAAACCUCGAACCUCAAACUCAAACUCAAACUCAAAAUUUAAACCCUAAACUCAAACCCAAACUUAGGGUUUAAGGUUUAGAGUUCGAGAUUUUAGUUUCAAGAUUCAAGGUUUCAAGUUUGAGGUUAUGGGUUUAAGGUUCCCGGUUCAAGGUAACAAAAUUCCCAAAUUAUGUAUUAAUGACAUGAAAAAAAAUUAUUGAAAUGUCUAAUUCUAAGCAAUGUAUAGACCUAAUCAUGGGUCGGGCCACCCGGCCUAGCCCGAAGGCCCUCCCAAAAUGUGGGAGGAUUUUGGCAAAAAUAUAGGCCCAAAAAAUGGGCUUGGAUAAAAAAUAAGGCCUAUUUAAAAAACGGG
rnacentral:lncRNA from 1 species